AGGGAUGUGGCUCAGUGGUAGAGUGCUUGCCUAGCAUGCAUGAGACCCUGGGUUCCAUCCCUU
rnacentral:tRNA from 1 species